GGAUCCAGACUUUGAUUCUGGCUCAGGAUGAACGCUAGCUACAGGCUUAACACAUGCAAGUCGAGGGGCAGCGGGAUUGAAGCUUGCUUCAAUUGCCGGCGACCGGCGCACGGGUGAGUAACGCGUAUCCAACCUUCCGUACACUCAGGGAUAGCCUUUCGAAAGAAAGAUUAAUACCUGAUAGUAUCUUAAGCACACAUGUAAUUAAGAUUAAAGAUUUAUCGGUGUACGAUGGGGAUGCGUUCCAUUAGGUAGUAGGCGGGGUAACGGCCCACCUAGCCAACGAUGGAUAGGGGUUCUGAGAGGAAGGUCCCCCACAUUGGAACUGAGACACGGUCCAAACUCCUACGGGAGGCAGCAGUGAGGAAUAUUGGUCAAUGGACGAGAGUCUGAACCAGCCAAGUAGCGUGAAGGAUGAAGGUCCUACGGAUUGUAAACUUCUUUUAUAAGGGAAUAAACCCUCCCACGUGUGGGAGCUUGUAUGUACCUUAUGAAUAAGCAUCGGCUAACUCCGUGCCAGCAGCCGCGGUAAUACGGAGGAUGCGAGCGUUAUCCGGAUUUAUUGGGUUUAAAGGGAGCGCAGACGGGUCGUUAAGUCAGCUGUGAAAGUUUGGGGCUCAACCUUAAAAUUGCAGUUGAUACUGGCGUCCUUGAGUGCGGUUGAGGUGUGCGGAAUUCGUGGUGUAGCGGUGAAAUGCUUAGAUAUCACGAAGAACUCCGAUUGCGAAGGCAGCACACUAAUCCGUAACUGACGUUCAUGCUCGAAAGUGUGGGUAUCAAACAGGAUUAGAUACCCUGGUAGUCCACACGGUAAACGAUGGAUACUCGCUGUUGGCGAUAUACUGUCAGCGGCUUAGCGAAAGCGUUAAGUAUCCCACCUGGGGAGUACGCCGGCAACGGUGCAACUCAAAGGAAUUGACG
rnacentral:rRNA from 1 species